rnacentral:rRNA from 1 species
AAACUUUCAACAACGGAUCUCUUGGUUCCGGCANAGANGAAGAACGCAGCGAAAUGCGAUAAGUAAUGUGAAUUGCAGAAUUCAGUGAAUCAUCGAGUCUUUGAACGCACAUUGCGCCCCCUGGUAUUCCGGGGGGCAUGCCUGUCCGAGCGUCAUU